rnacentral:rRNA from 1 species
UACGUAGGGUGCAAGCGUUAAUCGGAAUUACUGGGCGUAAAGAGUGCGUAGGCGGUUCUUGAAGUCCGCUGUGAAAGCCCCGGGCUUAACCUGGGAAUGGCAGUGGAAACUGGGGGACUUGAAUUGAGCAGAGGGGGGUGGAAUGCCGCGUGUAGCAGUGAAAUGCGUAGAGAUGCGGCGGAACACCGAUGGCGAAGGCAGCCCCCUGGGCUUAAAUUGACGCUGAGGCACGAAAGCGUGGGGAGCAAACAGG